rnacentral:rRNA from 1 species
UACGGGGGGGGCAAGCGUUGUUCGGAAUUACUGGGCGUAAAGGGUUUGUAGGUGGCUUGUUAAGUCAGACGUGAAAUCCCUCAGCUUAACUGGGGAACUGCGUCUGAUACUGGAUGGCUUGAGUGUGGGAGAGGAAUGCGGAAUUCCAGGUGUAGCGGUGAAAUGCGUAGAUAUCUGGAGGAACACCGGUGGCGAAGGCGGCAUUCUGGACCAUAACUGACACUGAGAGACGAAAGCCAGGGGAGCAAACGGG